rnacentral:sRNA from 1 species
UUCAUGGUAUACUUACAAAGUAGAAAGUUUAUGGCGGUGGCAAGCUCUCAUAAAGGGGGAAUGCCUAUGAUUUUUGAUUGUGUGCUUUUCCCUAGAAAGGAAUAGCUUUGACUGUUUUUGAAGCAUUAAUGUUUGCGUUAGCUUUCGCAACAUUGAUUCUAAAAAUCAGUAAUA